UACAGAGGGUGCGAGCGUUAAUCGGAAUUACUGGGCGUAAAGCGCACGUAGGCGGCUUGGUAUGUCGGGUGUGAAAUCCCCGGGCUCAACCUGGGAACUGCAUCCGAAACUGCCUUGCUAGAGUAUGGGAGAGGGAAGUGGAAUUUCCGGUGUAGCGGUGAAAUGCGUAGAUAUCGGAAGGAACAUCAGUGGCGAAGGCGACUUCCUGGACAAUUGCUGACGCUCAGGCACGAAAGCGUGGGGAGCAAAAGGG
rnacentral:rRNA from 1 species